GACCGCGUAGCUCAGUUGGAAGAGCAUUGGGUAGUAUCCAAAGGUCGUAGGUUCGAAUCCCACCGUGGCCG